UCUGCUACAUUCGCACUCAUAAUGUAGCAGACACCAGACAAAUUUAAAAUUAUUAAUAAAUACAGUAAAUUAUUAAUAACAUAAAAUUUAUAAAAAAUGCACUUAUUAAUUACAAAAUUUUUUAAAUGCGCAUUUUUUUUAAAUUUUAAUUUAUUAAUUAUUUACUCUAAUUAUUAUUAAUUUUAAAUUUGUGUGAUGUCUGCUGCAUUCACACUCAUAAAUAUCAAAUGAUUAACUCUCUACAUGUGCAUAUUUUUAGAUUUUUUUUUCGCAAUUGAUUUGUUGAAAAAAAAAAUCCAAAAAUUGUUAAUUGUCUGCUGGUUUCACACUCAAAUAUUAAUAGUUAAUUAUUUUUUAAAAAUUUAUAAGUGACAAUAAUAAUAACUAAAAUAUUUGGGCACUAAAGCGCCGCCAUAGUUUGAAUUUGUAAACAAAAAUUUGUCGUUAUGUCAACGCAAUCAACUUUGUAUAUUUUUUUUUGUUAUUCAUUUUUCAAACGUAUGAUUCAUAUUAUUUUUUAUGUUGUGUCUACCAUAUAAACUACUGCAUAUUUAUUUCAUAUAUAUGUCUACUUUAAUCUGUGUGUAUAUUUCAAUGCAUUGAUUUUUAUAUGUAAUGUACAUAUACAUAUAUCUAUAUAUAUAUAUACAUCCACAAGGUUAAUGAGUAUUUAACACGUGACAAAUUUAACAGGCAAUACACGUUGUAAGAAUAAUUGUGUUGGUUAUUACUAUAAAUAUCUACCAAGAACCUUAUCCUCGUAAACUCGAGCUCUGGUUCGUCAAGAAAAGGUGGCCUGACCUGAGGGAAACCGCUAUGUAGACACCACAUCAUUUUAUUACAACACAAAUAUAUGUACAUAUAAGCGUACAUUGAUAAAUACUAUCGACGAUAAACGAUUGUCAAUUAUGAAAUGAUAGUGAAAGUUUAAAUUAUUAUUUUAUUUAUAUUUUGUAUUUUAUGUUGACAUUUUCAAUAUUCAAACAUUUGUAUUUUUACUCUCAGUUAUUUAUUUAGUUUUUGUUUAUUUGUUGAGGUUAUUGUUUAUAAAGUUAUAUAUAAAUAUUUAAAAAUGGAAGAUACAAUAAUACCACCCCAUGUAUCUAGGCAAUAUUUAGUUGUUAAUGAAGAAACUGGUGGCUCAAGUAAUAGUGUAAUUAAAAAAAAUGAAAGUGACAAACAAGAAAUAAAAUCGGUAACUAUGUCAGAAUGGAUCACUGUUGUCAUAUUAUGUUUUGUUAAUUUGAUUAAUUAUAUGGACAGGACAACAAUUGCAGGAAUAUUACCAGCGAUACAGGAAAAAUUUCAAAUCGAAAAUGGAUCCUCUGGUUUAUUACAAACAGCAUUUAUCGUCAGCUACAUGAUAUUCGCACCAUUGUUCGGUUAUCUUGGUGACAGAUAUAACAGAAAAAUAAUAAUGAGUGUCGGUGUAUUUAUUUGGAGCUUGACGACUUACCUUGGCUCUUAUAUGAAGUCAUUUGAAGGAUUUAUUGCGUUAAGAAUGUGCGUUGGAAUUGGAGAAGCGAGUUAUUCAACAAUAGCACCAACGAUAAUAAGUGACUUAUUUGUAAAAGACACUAGAUCUAAAAUGUUAGCGCUAUUUUACUUCGCAAUACCUGUAGGAAGUGGUCUGGGAUAUAUUACCAGUGCUAAAAUAGUACAGGCAACUGGCAAAUGGCAAUCGGGAUUAAGGAUAACUCCUGGAUUAGGAAUAAUUGCUAUUAUUUUAAUUUUAACAUUAGUCAGAGACCCAGCAAGAGGUGAAAAAGAAGGCGGGUCACAUAUUUCUAGUACUUCCUGGUCCGUUGAUAUUAAAGAGUUAUUAAAAAACCGAAGCUUCAUGUUAUCAACGGGAGGAUUCACAUGCGUAGCAUUUGUUACCGGUGCAUUAGCACUAUGGGCGCCAAAAUUUUUACAAUUAGGUUUACAAUUACAAAAUUCAAAUUCACUAGUCAUUGAUGAUGUAUCAUUUGUCUUCGGAUUGAUAGCAAUGUUAGCUGGUCUAAUUGGAGUUCCACUGGGUUCAAUAAUGGCUCAGAAGCUCAGAGUGUGCUAUCAUCAAGCAGAUCCACUUAUUUGUGCCGUUGGAUUGCUCAUAAGUGUUCCAUUAAUAUUCUUUGCUGUUGUAACAGCCAGUAUUAAUUCAACGUUGUGUUUCAUUCUCAUUUUCUUUGGACAAUUGGCUCUUAAUCUUACGUGGUCUAUCGUUGCUGAUAUUCUAUUGUAUGUCGUGAUACCAACAAGAAGAUCUACAGCUGAAGCAUUUCAAAUUCUAGUGGCGCAUGCGCUUGGUGACGCUGGAAGUCCAUAUUUAAUUGGAUUGAUGUCUGAAGGAUUAAAACCAGCACUGACACCACUAGGGCCAUUUGAUGAAUUCGCUGCCUUGACGGAGUUCCGUUGCCUGCAGUACUCGUUAUUCGUAACAAUCUUCGUAGAAGUUAUUGGAGGUUUAUUCUUCUUAUUUACUGCAUUGUACAUUGAAAAAGACAAAGCUGUCGUUGAUCUCACCAUGGCGGUGCAUGAGUUGAUAUCGAGUAUGGAGUUAGAGCCACAGUUUUUAACUGAUGAUUGAGGUAAUCCUGUUUUUUUCAAGAUUAACAAGUUAAGCGUCAAGAUUCCUGGUAUUUCGAUAAAAAUGAAGCUGAGACAACGCUAGUAGGUAAUGGAGAAGACAAUGAAAGAUAAUAAUUAUAAAUAUACAGUAAAUGUUAAUUAUUAAUUAAUGACUGAUAGAUUAGUGCAAAUAAUUAAUUAUACUUAGUUAGUAAUCAAUUAUUACUAGUUACUAUAAUUAAUUUAUUUGAAAUUAUUUUAUGACUUUUUUCAUAUUGUAUUAAUCAGUUGUAUUAUCAAUUCUCAUAAAUAUUUUUUUUAUAUUUAUGUUCAUUGUUUCGAUCUUGUAAAAAUUUUUUUGUCGUCUAGGCGUUUUUGUAAAACUUAGCAUUGUCUUGUUUGACAAAGGCUGUGCAUUGGUGGUCCCAAAAAUUUUAUUUUGUGUAAUCCAACAAAUUAUUUAUUUAAAAAAACAAAAAAAAAAUUAUAAUAAUUAAAAUUUGCAAUUAGAUAAUUAAAUGUUAUGUCAUUUUAAGGUAUUUCAUUAUCUUUCCUCGAAAGAUUUUAGUUAAAAUUUUUUAGAAAACUUUUGAAUCAGUUUCUCUUUAUAUGAAUCUGAUAAUUAAAAAAAAAAAAUUAAUUAAGUCUUAAAGAAAUUUAUUAAUUAAAUUAACUUUUAAGGGGACUGAGAAGAAGAAGUGAUCAGAAAUAGAGAAUUUUGUCUUGUCUUCGAUUAAUAUUAAAUAUAUGUAAUAAAAAAUUAUUAAAAUCGUAUUUUCAAAAUUUUUCAAAUAAUAUAUAUGUAUAAUUAUUCAAAAUUUAUGAUAAUUAAUAUAGUUUAUAUUUAUAAUCAUUUUAUCCGUAAAAAUUCAAAUUAUUCCAUUUGGCGCCAAAUUUGAAAUUUAAAAUUCAGUCAAAUGAGAUUUGCCCAGGUAGCACACUUGCCUUUUUGACAUCUAUAAGAUAUCAGUUUUUAGGCUACUUUUUGACUUGUCGAUAAGGCAUCAGUAUGUUGACAAAACGAUCAGAAAUUCAUGUCACCGAAAAAAUACCUACUUAAAAGACUUAACAUAAGUGAACAAAAAGUAAAUUACAAAAAGUGGUAAAAUAAGUCAUCUAAACGACUUGUCAAUUGAAAUAAGACAGGAAAAACAACACAACUCAUCUCUGUCUCCGGAACCAACAUUUGCAUGUCGUAUUCAUACAAAAUAGUAUAUUUUACACCUCGGGCAGUAAAGUAAGAAAAGUCUCAGAGCACAUGUAAUUGUUGGCCGAGGCUGACAAACAUGUGGUCUGAGGCUUUCUUUUUUACUGGCCUAGGUGCGUAUACUAUUUUUCUGCUCGACGGAGGCGGAAAGCGGAAACUUCGUUUCGCACAGCGGGAGAAAAGUUGACGCUUUUCGCCCGGAGGGGAGAAAAAAAAUGACUUUGAGACUAAGAAAAAAAUUUUUCUGCCCUCCGGUCGGAAAGUGGCAACUUUCGUCCCGCUGUGCAAAACAAAGUUGUAACUUUCCGGCUUCGUCGAGCAGAAAAAUAGUAUACGCACCUUGGCCAGUAAAAAAAAAAGCCUCAGACCACAUGUUUGUCAGCCUCGUCCAACAAUUACAUGUGCUCUGAGACUUUUCUUAUUUUACUGGCCUAGGUAUGUAAUAUACUAUGUCUUGUCCUUUUAAAAGACAUCUUAAAGUUGACUCUGUGCUACUUGGGUUAUAUAACAUACAUAUAUAGUAUAUAUUGAUGAUGAUAAAUUAUUAUCAGGUUUCAUUAAAUCUUUGAUUUAAAAAUUAAUUUUUCAAAUUUGAAAAAAUUAUUCUGCUUUUUUUGGAUUUUCAUAAAAUUAGAAGAUUUUUUACGGACGUUAAUAUCGAUUACUAAAUUGGCGUUCGAUUCUUCUCAUUACUAAUUAAUAUUAUCGGCUUAAUAAUUUAAAAAAUUUUGAAUUUUCUAUAAAAAUGCUUAAUAAGACUGCGUAGGCUUUAAAAACUUAAAAUCUCCUUAAAAUGACAUUAAAAAAAA